rnacentral:rRNA from 1 species
UGCGUAGGUGGCGUGGUAAGUCGGGUGUGAAAUUUCGGAGCUUAACUCCGAAACUGCAUUCGAUACUGCCGUGCUUGAGGACUGGAGAGGAGACUGGAAUUUACGGUGUAGCAGUGAAAUGCGUAGAGAUCGUAAGGAAGACCAGUGGCGAAGGCGGGUCUCUGGACAGUUCCUGACGCUGAGGCACGAAGGCUAGGGGAGCAAACG